UACGGAAGGCAGCAGUGGGGAAUAUUGCACAAUGGGCGCAAGCCUGAUGCAGCCAUGCCGCGUGUAUGAAGAAGGGCCUUCGGGUUGUAAAGUACUUUCAGUCGUGAGGAAGGUGUUAAGGUUAAUAACCUUAGCAAUUGACGUUAGCGACAGAAGAAGCACCGGCUAACUCCGUGCCAGCAGCCGCGGUAAUACGGAGGGUGCGAGCGUUAAUCGGAAUUACUGGGCGUAAAGGGCACGCAGGCGGUUAAUUAAGUUGGAUGUGAAAUCCCCGGGCUUAACCUGGGAAUGGCAUUCAAGACUGGUUAGCUAGAGUCUUGUAGAGGGGGUAGAAUUCCAUGUGUAGCGGUGAAAUGCGUAGAGAUGUGGAGGAAUACCGGUGGCGAAGGCGGCCCCUGGGACAAAGGACUGACGCUCAUGUGCGAAAGCGUGGGGAGCGAAACAGGGAUUAGAUACC
rnacentral:rRNA from 1 species